rnacentral:sRNA from 1 species
AACAUAAUAAUGUGGUAGGUUCUGUGUAGGUCAACAUAAUAAUGUGGUAGGUUCUGUGUAGGUCAACAUAAUGACGUGGUAGGUUCUGUGUAGGUCAACAUAAUGACGUGGUAGGUUCUGUGUAGGUCAACAUAAUAAUGUGGUAGGUUCUGUGUAGGUCAACAUAAUAAUGUGGUAGAAUCUGUGUAGGUCAACAUAAUGACGUGUAGGUUCUGUGUAGGUCAACAUAAUAAUGUGGUAGGUUCUGUGUAGGUCAACAUAAUAAUGUGGUAGGUUCUGUGUAGGUCAACAUAAUGGCGUGGUAGGUUCUGUGUAGGUCAACAUAAUAAUGUGGUAGGUUCUGUGAAGGUCAACAUAAUGGCGUGGUAGGUUCUGUGUAGAUCAACAUAAUGGCGUGGUAGGUUCUGUGUAGGUCAACAUAAUAAUGUGGUAGGUUCUGUGUAGGUCAACAUAAUGGCGUGGUAGGUUCUGUGUAGGUCAACAUAAUAAUGUGGUAGGUUCUGUGUAGGUCAACAUAAUAAUUUGGUAGGUUCUGUGUAGGUCAACAUAAUAAUGUGGUAGGUUCUGUGUAGGUCAACAUAAUGACGUUGUAGGUUAUGUGUAGGUCAACAUAAUGACGUUGUAGGUUCUGUGUAGGUCAACAUAAUAAUGUGGUAGAUUCUGUGUAGGUCAACAUAAUGACGUUGUAGGUUCUGUGCAGGUCAACAUAAUGACGUUGUAGGUUCUGUGUAGGUCAACAUAAUGACGUUGUAGAUUCUGUGUAGGUCAACAUAAUGACGUUGUAGAUUCUGUGUAGGUCAACAUAAUGACGUUGUAGGUUCUGUGCAGGUCAACAUAAUGACGAUGUAGGUUCUGUGUAGGUCAACAUAAUGACGUUGUAGGUGCAGUGCAGGUUAACUUACGUGGUAGAUUCUGUGCAGUCAACUUACUAACAUGGUAGAUUUUUACAUGAAUGCAGUCAUAGAUUUUUUUUGAAAGUUUUCAUUGAAUUGUAUUCCUUUCAUAAAUCGACCUACUCAUGGCAGGAAAAAAGGCUGAAUGUCUUCCACCUACUAUGCCUAAGGCGAAUCUUUAAAAUAAGAUGGCAAGAUAUAAUAGCCAAUGUGGAACUGCUACCAAAAACAGGGUGACAUCCGCUGUGUUAUCAGCAGCAGACGCCUUGGCUGGCUUGGCCACGUUCGUAGAAUGCCAGUAGGUUGACUUUUACAAGACAUUCUGUUUGGUGAUAUAAUAGAAGGCAGGAGAGCCGCUGGUCGCCCACUUUUACGGUAUAAGGAU